UACGGAGGGGCGAGCGUUAUUCGGAAUUAUUGGGCGUAAAGGCGCGUAGGCGGCGCGAUAGUCAAGGUGAAAUCCCUCGGCUCAACUGAGGAACUGCCUUUGAAACUGUCGAGCUCGAGGCCGGGAGGGGUAGCGGAAUUCCCAGUGUAGCGGUGAAAUGCGUAGAUAUUGGGAGGAACACCAGUGGCGAAGGCGGACUACCUGGACCGGUUCUGGACGCUGAUGCGCGAAAGCGUGGGUAGCAACGAGG
rnacentral:rRNA from 1 species